UCUCUCUCUCAUGGCGUCUUAAAGCAGAAGACCUUCGCUGUCUCUACCCGGGUUGAGCAGCAGCAACAGCAAUGACAAAAUCCUAGCUAGGGUUUUAAACUCUAUAUCCUAAUCUUCGAUCGUUCAUCAAGGCAAGGGGGUCGAGUCUGACGCUACCUUCACCGCUAAGAAGAUCCUGAAGAGCACCGGAAAAGUUGCUUGAAUCGCCGGGACCACAUUCCUCGUCCUUGUCGUCCCUCUGAUUAUUGAAAUGGACCGAGAGCAGCAAAUGAACGAGCUCGAGUUUCAGCAAGCCAGCUUGCUUGGCACGCCCCCCAUCGUUACCCCCAAAUGAUCAUCAUCACCCACCACCGGCCCCGUUAAUCUGGUUAGGGUUUCGGCCGCAGCAGCGUUGGGCGUGCUCAGGUUAGGUUUUUUGUUGCGAUUGGUCUAUGGUGGAAUCUGAUAGUUUACAAAUGUUUCUUUUGUCAAGAUUAGGGAUUUUCCAAUAUUUAUGAUCGAUGGCAUUUUGAGUUAGAUGUGGUGUUUGUUGGAUUUUCAUCUUUGUGAUUGUGUGAAUCUUGCAAUAAAUGCUUGUUCGGGUUC